GUCCCCGUAGUUCAACGGAUAGAACACUGGUUUCCUAAACCGGGGAUGAUGGUUCAAUUCCAUCCGGGGACGCCA
rnacentral:tRNA from 1 species